CAAAGAGGAGAAAAAUAUUUCUCUCCACUGCCUAAAGAACAAGAUGAAUUUUAAUACUUUGAGUUUGAAGAAUGAUGUUUCAAGUUUCGUCACUUCUGCACCGCAUCUGACCCUUAGGAAUCCAGCUCAAGGCAUGUAUGGAUAAAGGCAAGCACUCUAAGCCCACUACUUUUGAGCCUGCCCACCCUCUGACAAGGAGUUCCAGGUCUGCCCUGGGGAGAGGCUGGCCACGUCACUUCUGUUGAGUUUCCUCGAAGAUAUAAUACGAGUUCUAGACAAAAGACCGGCUGGAAAGCUCAAGCAGACUGGGACCACAUAGCAAAACAAAGUGCAGAACACAUCUUCUUUUCUUUGUAAGGUAAUUGACAGAUCAGUACAUGUUGUAACUAAUCUACCUUGGACUUGAGAAAGUACUGGAUUUCUAUUCCUUCAUUAAUAUCUCUAUGGUCUUUGAGAUGAUUGCACACAAAGUGUCUUAAUAGGAAACAGAGGCCAGUGAUGUACUGUUUAUGUGAUGCUAACCUUCCAAUAUUAAAGAUUGAAUAUUUAGGAGAGGAAAAGUCACAUCACAGGACCCAGAGGUAGAUUUUAACGGUUCAGGACAGGCCUACAAGGCACGUUGCUGAACUUUGAGAAACAAGGGGAAGAGAAACAUAGCUCGAUGAAAAUUCUUUUAAAUAGGCCUGAUUUGGCUGUGAUUUAAAAAAGAAUAAAAAUGCAUCAGUUAAUGAAGAACAAACCGUGGAAGCUGC
rnacentral:lncRNA from 1 species